GUGAGUGUUGUGUUUACACGUGUGGAUGUGAGCGUCUGUAAGCGUCUGUAAGCGUCUGUAAGCGUAGCUUUCUAUUUCAUGUAGGUGAUAUUAAGUUUAUAUCUAUAUUUAUUUACUGCUACACUAUAUUGUUAAUAUGAUUUCUUAUAGAAGGAAUAGUACAGACAAAUGAUAUAAUUUGUCAUCGUCGAUAUCAGAAUGCUGGAUAGCAUAGGCUACUCGUGUUCUUGCUUUUUCAGGUGGAGCGGGCUUAACAGGGAAAACACUUACAGUCCUGCAUCUUUGACUCGUGACGCAUUUCAAAAAGCAGUGCAGAAUGCAGACACGGAGUUUGCUUUUAACUGUGAAAACACCGAGUAGGUAACUAAGAUCUAACUUAGGUUAACGUAUAAAACAGAAGACCAACUCCACAAACUGCGGACCAACAAUGCACGUGAAAUUUUCCCUUUAUUUCCUUAUUUGGAGGACCAAUCUUCUUAAAAUGGGAGCAAUUCUAUGAUGCACCAAGUGGCUAAGGGUACCAGGCUUGGUGUUUAAAGACUGUACAGACUAGAACCUGGUGAUGGAAAGAUAACAGAUAAGUAAACAUAUGAGAGAAUCAUGGGCACAAACAAAAAUAAUCAUAGCUUGGUAUAACUAGAUUUUCUUUGUUUCAUAACACAGAUUUUGAAUUUGUCUAGUCAAAUUACUUUACAAAAGUGUAUAUAUAUAUAUAUAUACUGUAUAUAUAUAUAUAUAUAUAUAUAUAUAUAUAUACUUAAAAUAAAAUUUCUAAUCAAUGGUUUUCUUGAUUUGACAAGUAGAUGUUUUCUUGUUGUUUAAUUUUAGACUCAACUGAUUGGAAAAUCUCUGCCCAUCACCUGCCCCCAACAUUACAAAGCCACAAGAAGAGAACACCGAUCCUUCCAGAAUCCGGCGGCUGACUAUUUAGUGAGAUUUCUUAAGGUAGCCAGUACUACAUGAUUUUUCACUAAAGUUGGAUCUGCACAGCCUUUUCUGCUCUGUGAAACAACUGCACUGAACUUUACUGUUAGCGACUGGAUACAGCUGAUCCACUCAUAUCCUGCUACUGUUUUUCAUCUGCUGAAUGUUUUUGACUCAAGCACUGCUGUACUGUUGCAAAGUCAAAGGUA